CACAAGGUCCAAUAAUUUAUUGG
rnacentral:siRNA from 1 species